AAAGGAAUUGGCUAAUACAUCAGUAUUCUCAGACACCAAUGCUGAAACUGGGAAUAAUCAAAAGGAGAAUGUCGCUCAGAGCAACGCAAAUGAGAAUGUCGGUCAGAGCAACACAAAUGACAAUGUCGGUCAGAGCAACGCAAAUGAGAAUGUUGUUCAGAGCAACACAAAUGAGAAUGUUGUUCAGAGCAACACAAAAGAGAAUGAGGGUGCAGGAGGAGAAGAAUCUGGUAAUGCUAAGGAGAACGAAGCUUCCUCAAGUACAAAUGACAACACUGAGGCGCAGAAUGUCAAUGUUG
rnacentral:lncRNA from 1 species